UCAUUCUCAACACCUUGUAUUAAACUACAAUAGUCUACAAACAAUUUGUGCACUCUACUCUAGAGAAUAGGUGUUGGAAACAUCACAUUCAGGGCAGUCUAUCCAGCAGGAACUUGACAUACACAAGCUGUUUUAUGGAUCAGGUGUAAAUGAUUAGGAGCGCUAGGAGUGGGUUGGGAGCUCUUCUCUUCUAGCUCUACAACGACCGAAUUCGGUGACGGACUGAAAGGUUCCCGAAGUGGAGACAAAGGUGAUCUCCUCGGAAAGCAACGGACAGUUUAGAAAUCGGCACGAGACUACAACGAAGGGCGAGAAGGAUGUUCUAUUCACGCCGUCGUCUCAUUCUGUAGAUAGACAGAGAAAAGGACCCCUUUGGUAUCAAGCUUCUCUCUCUACCAUUCGGUGGUUCGGGGGGCGACAGAGACUGUUAGAUUCUCUGACACUGGGAGUGAAAACAACGUGACAUUGCGAAGGAAAAACCUGCCUGUUCCCUGCUUUUAGUGGCUCUCUGUUCCCCUCAUCACAGAGCAGCAUGCUGCCUGCUUUCAUGACAUUUCCUCCCCGCCAACCUGGCUAGUUUUGCUGCCUAUUCCCAGCGAGCUCUUCUUGCUGUAUCUCCCAACUGUCCACGGGCCUACUUCACCGACUGUCCACGGGCCUACUUCACCGACUGUCCACAGGCCUACUUCACCGACUGUCCACGG
ensembl:lncRNA